rnacentral:rRNA from 1 species
GUUAAGUUGCAGGGUAUAGACCCGAAACCCGGUGAUCUAGCCAUGGGCAGGUUGAAGGUUGGGUAACACUAACUGGAGGACCGAACCGACUAAUGUUGAAAAAUUAGCGGAUGACUUGUGGCUGGGGGUGAAAGGCCAAUCAAACCGGGAGAUAGCUGGUUCUCCCCGAAAGCUAUUUAGGUAGCGCCUCGUGAAUUCAUCUCCGGGGGUAGAGCACUGUUUCGGCAAGGGGGUCAUCCCGACUUACCAACCCGAUGCAAACUGCGAAUACCGGAGAAUGUUAUCACGGGAGACACACGGCGGGUGCUAACGUCCGUCGUGAAGAGGGAAACAACCCAGACCGCCAGCUAAGGUCCCAAAGUCAUGGUUAAGUGGGAAACGAUGUGGGAAGGCCCAGACAGCCAGGAUGUUGGCUUAGAAGCAGCCAUCAUUUAAAGAAAGCGUAAUAGCUCACUGGUCGAGUCGGCCUGCGCGGAAGAUGUAACGGGGCUAAACCAUG